GUGAGGAAUAUUGGUCAAUGGACGGAAGUCUGAACCAGCCAUGCCGCGUGCAGGAAUAAGGUCCUAUGGAUUGUAAACUGCUUUUAUUCGGGAAUAAACCUCUGUACGUGUAGGGAGCUGAAGGUACCGAAGGAAUAAGCACCGGCUAACUCCGUGCCAGCAGCCGCGGUAAUACGGAGGGUGCAAGCGUUAUCCGGAAUCAUUGGGUGUAACGGGUCCGCAGGCGGGCUAUCAAGUCAGAGGUGAAAUACCACAGCUUAACUGGGGAACUGCCUUUGAAACUGAUGGUCUUGAAUUAAGUGGGCGUUGGCGGAAUAUGACAUGUAGCGGUGAAAUGCAUAGAUAUGUCAUGGAACACCGAAAGCGAAGGCAGCUAACGAUACUUAUAUUGACGCUCAUGGACGAAAGCGUGGGUAGCGAACAGGAUUAGAUACCCCGGUAGUCC
rnacentral:rRNA from 1 species